rnacentral:snoRNA from 1 species
UGGAGGACUGAGAAGGUUGAGCAGCUUGUGUUGUGCUACUACAACUGGUUAUAACCUCCAAGAGUAACAAACAAACUACACAAAUUUCAUGGCUCUGUCCAAAGCAGAGCUGACAUGUGUGUUUGUGGACAAAAU